rnacentral:rRNA from 1 species
UGGUGGAGUGAUUUGUCUGGUUGAUUCCGUUAACGAGCGAGACCUUAACCUGCUAAAUAGUCACGUCAGCCUUCUGAUAUGCUGUGAAUGCCGUGUAGCAGUGAGCCUUAAUCAGUUCGCUCUAUGUGGUGGGAUCAGUUGAUGAGCUGACGGCAGUACUUCUUAGAGGGACUUCUGGCUUCAAGUCAGAGGAAGUUUGAGGCAAUAACA